rnacentral:rRNA from 1 species
AAGUCGUAACAAGGUUUCCGUAGGUGAACCUGCGGAAGGAUCAUUAACGAGUUCAUGCCCUAACGGGUAGACCUCCACCCUUGAAGAUAUACAAUUGUUGCUUUGGCGGGCCGCUUCGGCUACCUAUUGGGUAUGUGCCCGCCAGAGGAUCUAAAUCCUGAAAUAAAGUGUCGUCUNAGUACUAUAUAAUAGUUAAAACUUUCAACAACGGAUCUCUUGGUUCUGGCAUCGAUGAAGAAUGCAGCGAAAUGCGAUAAGUAAUGUGAAUUGCAGAAUUCAGUGAAUCAUCGAAUCUUUGAACGCACAUUGCGCCCCUUGGUAUUCCGGGGGGCAUGCCUGUUCGAGCGUCAUUAUAACCCUCAAGCUUAGCUUGGUGUUGGAGCCUGCUACCUAGCAGCUCUUAAAAUCAGUGGCGGUGCUGUCUGGCUCUAAGCGUAGUACUUCUCUCGCUAUGGUGUCCAAGCGGUAUCUUGCCAAUAACCCUAAUUUUCUAUGGUUGACCUCGGAUCAGGUAGGGAUACCCGCUGAACUUAAGCAUAUCAAUAAGCGGAGGAAAAGAAACCAACAGGGAUUGCCUCAGUAACGGCGAGUGAAGCGGCAACAGCUCAAAUUUGAAAUCUGGCUCUUUCAGGGUCCGAGUUGUAAUUUGUAGAAGAUGCUUUGGGUGUGGCUCCGGUCUAAGUUCCUUGGAACAGGACGUCAUAGAGGGUGAGAAUCCCGUAUGUGACUGGCUGCCUUCGCCUAUGUAAAGCUCUUUCGACGAGUCGAGUUGUUUGGGAAUGCAGCUCAAAAUGGGUGGUAAAUUUCAUCUAAAGCUAAAUAUUGGCCAGAGACCGAUAGCGCACAAGUAGAGUGAUCGAAAGAUGAAAAGCACUUUGGAAAGAGAGUUAAACAGUACGUGAAAUUGUUGAAAGGGAAGCGCUUGCAAUCAGACUUGCACGCAGUUGAUCAUCCGGUGUUCUCACCGGUGCACUCUGCUGCGUUCAGGCCAGCAUCGGUUUUGGUGGUUGGAUAAAGGCCUUGGGAAUGUAGCUUCUUUCGGGGAGUGUUAUAGCCCUCGGUGCAAUGCAGCCUACCGGGACCGAGGACCGCGCUUCGGCUAGGAUGCUGGCGUAAUGGUUGUAAGCGACC